ensembl:lncRNA POLR1HASP POLR1H antisense, pseudogene
GUGUCUCGGGAGCGUUAGAGAUGGAGACUAACGUCUUCCAAGGGAGAUUGCGUCUCCACUUUCACCCUGGUACUGAGAGGUUGAGCACAAAAUUGGUAACCAAUGCUGCGCUUCCAGCAAAUUUUCCCACCAGCACCCAAUCCUGGGAUAUUUAUUCUCUUUGUCUCACAUCCUACAGGAACGCAGUCGCGGGGUAUAUCCCCCUGAAAACCAUUGGCCUGGGGUACAUCAUCUAAAGAUCCUAGGAUUGCUGCAGGUCAGCAGUCUCCACUGGAAAAAAAGAUCUUGAAUCUAGGUGGUGUGCAUACAACAGCAGCAAGACAGUUGAUAAUGCAGAAAUAUCAGGAGGAGUGUGAAAUACUCUGUAGGGAGCAAGCUGUUUCUCUUGACUACUGGCUUGCCAAAGCAGAGUCUUAUUAUAAUAAAAUAAUAGUGGAAAUGAUGAAAGAAGAGACAGGCAAUGAAAUCUAGAAAAAAAUGGAGGAGAAAACAACCCAGAGCGUAGAAGGACUAAAACAGUACUGUUUGGUACCUGAGAGAGAGAUGAAACACAUAGAAAGGCACAUACAUCAAACAGGAAAGGCUGGAGAAUUUAAGAACAAACCAUUUAGACAAGUACUACAACCCCCCAAUGAAACAAAAUUACCAAAAAUUAUGCCAGAAGGGCAUGGCAUCCAGAACGCACAGAGAAGAAAGCAGGUAAAUGAGAGGGAACAGAUGCAGACUAAGGAUCACCAGGAACGCAUGAUUCGAGGGAGAGAACUUGCAGAACAAAGACUCAAGGAGAGAAUCUUGAGAAGAAGCCAGAGCCAGCUACUUACAUAUGAGAAGCAUGAGAGAGUAAAAGAGAUAAAGGAGUUUGAAAGAGUUAUUGCGUAUCUUCUUUUCCAACCAUGCAGUAGAAGUCGGAUUAAAGUGAGUAUUCUUAUGGAUAAGUCUCAGAAUGGAGAGAAGGUGAAUACAAUUGUGAAACCAUAUCAAAGAAAAUUCUUGGCAAUGCCACCCUUUUUAAGAAGUCAAAUAGGAAAAAUAAGAGAUUAAAGUUUCAAUGCUGUUAUGAUAAAAUCAUAUCUCUUAAGUGAACCCUUUUUUUUUUCAAAUGCUCGUUCUCUCCAGGGUUCAGUGAAUAUUCCCAUUUGUAUCAGAUACAGAUAGAUAGUUCUGCACUUGAAAAUUAGCUUAACUUUUUUAGUUGACUUGCAUUUGUUCAAGUUGCAUAUCCUUUCUAGUGUUCAGUGUCCUCAUCUUUAAAAUGGCAAUAAUAUUUGAUGGCAUUUAUGGAAGGACUGUUUUUUUUGUGAAGUGUAGGUAUGUAUUAGUUGUUUCAUAAAUGUUAGUUUCCCCACUUGGAAAGACCGGGGUUGGGCAAUGGUGGUGAAUAAAGAAUUGUUCUAAUCU